CACUUCCGGGAAGCUCGCGGCACGAGCAGGAAAUAAAUGGGGAAUCCGGUGUGAAUCCGGAGCGGUACCGCCACUGUAUGUUGUCCGGAAUACAACCGGGCAAUGAGCCAGAUCGCCAGCCUCGAAGUAUUUAUGAAC
rnacentral:ncRNA from 2 species